UCUUGUGACUCCUUGAAGGUGUCCUGAUGUCCAGUACUCUCUGCUCUUCAUCUUUCACUUCUACAUUUAAAUCCAACAUCAGCUGACCCCACUCGGCCUCUCCACACACUUCAGCACAGUGCUGUUGGUGAAAUGAUAAGUCUGUGACCAGCAGAUGGUGCUGUGGCUCUAAGGCAGCAGUGACAGGAGCACCGACAGCAGCCGAGUGGAGGCAGGUGACCACCAGGGUUAAAACAAACAUGCUGAAGUCCAGAUGUUGCACUCCACCUCAGGGAAUGGAGAACGGAGAUGUGCACGUGGUUGGUGUCCUCACAGGCAUCUGGAAAUCCAGAAAACAUACCAGGAUACAAGAUCUCCGA